CCUACGGGAGGCAGCAGUGGGGAAUCUUGCACAAUGGGGGAAACCCUGAUGCAGCGACGCCGCGUGAGCGAUGAAGCCCUUCGGGGUGUAAAGCUCUUUCGGCAGGAACGAUAAUGACGGUACCUGCAGAAGAAGCUGCGGCUAACUACGUGCCAGCAGCCGCGGUAA
rnacentral:rRNA from 1 species